UGCGAGUGAACAGGGAUAAGCCCAGCACCGAAGCCUGUGGCCAGUUGGUCACUAGGCAAUGUGGUGUUCAGGUCGUUCCGCAAAGGUACUGCUCCACCCUAAGUCCAUCAAUGAGUACGGUAGUAUGGRCAUGGCCCGCAGAGGGUGAAAGGCCCGUGGGGGUGGAGUUCAGGCAGGCCAGUACCUUUCUGGAUAGACCUUGGAGUCGGGUUGUUUGUGAAUGCAACCCAAAGUGGGUGGUAAACUCCAUCCAAGGCUAAAUACAAGCACGAGUCCGAUAGCGAACAAGUACCGUGAGGGAAAGUUGAAAAGUACUUUGAAGAGAGAGUAAACAGUGCGUGAAACCGGUCAGAGGUAAACGGGUGGAGUUGAACUGCAAGCUCUGGGAAUUCAGCUGGUGAGUGUGGUUUGAGCUUGGUUAAAUUGGUCGGACCCUGAAGUCUGCGUAGCAGCAGGCCUUUACCCUUCGGGGUAAGGGUGCGCGAUGCACUUAUCAAGUGUUGUGCGCUUUGGGUG
rnacentral:rRNA from 1 species